rnacentral:lncRNA from 1 species
UUUAUUUUAGGCAAUUUGCUGAGGUAACGCUCUUGGUGUUGUCGCACAAAAGAGUCGCAGCUGAAAAGUUUCAGAACAAGACAACUAGGCAAAAAUAGACAAUCAUGAACUUACACCUGGUUUAAUUGAUAAGAUUGCGCAUAUAAUUGAUGCUAAUUGGUGUAGCUUUGGACGCCAUCUUAAUUUGAGUGAGUUAAAUUGUAUUGAUGUUGAUUAUAGUAAUAAUUUAGCAAAAUCAGUUGAAGUUUUAAAUAAUUGGAUUAUAUUUUAAGAAACGAACCAAUAUCUAACAUGGUGCAAUUUAAAAAAAGAGCUUCAGUUAUUUAACCGUCACGACAUUGUCCAGGAAAUGCAAAUAGAAUAUAUGCAGGAAGAUGAGAUACAGUCUUUUAUUGAUCUGGAUCUAAAUGAAAAUUUAAAAUAAGAGUUGCAAGAGCUUGAUGAUAGUUACAUUGAUCAUAUUGGUUUAGAAAAUGUUAUAAGAGAGAAAAUGGAACUUAACCUUGACUUGUUAGAAGAAACAUUAGGCAUAGGGCCAGUGAAAGAUUCAAGUAAAGAGCCGGUAAAAGAGCCAGUUGCACAGUUUGAACUCAAAGAGUUUUUAAAACUAGUGGGAUUCUCAGUGAUGGGCGCUGAGAGUUUUGAAAAAUUUAUCAAUCCAAUUAUACAACAUUUUUCAUUACAAAAUUGGCUUGAUUUGUAUCUUGAUCGAAUUUUUUUAUGCAAAGAAUUGAUUGCGUGCUUGGGUUUUCCUUUUGAAGGACCGGAAAACAUUCAAUUUGUUAUAAAUUUGCCUUCCCAAACCUCUUUGAAUUCUCAAAGAGAGAUAGCUGGAUGGAAUUUGAGUUCAAGUUUGUCAAAAAUUGAAAUUUCAAAUAAGAUUUCAGAAAUUG